UUUUCAUUGCAAGUCCUGUUAAAUCUAUACUCUUAUAUGUUAUAGCCGGAUACUUUCCAAUUCAUUUCAUAGUGUGCCCUGUCAAUACUGUCAGAUAUUUGUGUGCCAUGUUCUCUGAUAUGAAUCACAGUGCUUACAAGUGAUAGGGUUUAAUUAUUUGCUUUUCUAUUAUUGUUCUGUGACUCUGUCGCAGGUCCUUCUUUGUUUGGGCAGAAGCCAGCUUUUGGGAGCUUUGGGUCAUCUUCCAGUCUAUCAAGUCCUUUUGGUAGUACAUUUCAGCAGACACAACCAGCAUAUGGGAGCAACCUCUUUGGUUCUACCUCACCAUUUGGUGCCUCUAGUCAACCUGCAUUUGGUGCUACUACUACCCCAGCUUUUGGCUCUGUGACCACCCCUUCUUUUGGUGCCACAACUUCACCAGCAUUUGGUGCCCCAAGCAUGCCCGCAUUUGGUACUACAACUCCUUCAUUUGGCUCAACAUCGGCACCACUUUUUGGUACCACAGGAACUUCUUUUGGGGCUUCAAGUUCCCCAGCGUUUGGUUCAACAAUGACACCAUCUUUUGGAACUCCAACGACCCCUGUGUUUGGAUCUUCAAGUACACCAGCAUUUGGUGCAUCUACUGCUCCCACGUUUGGGUCUCCUACGGUUUCUGCUUUUGGUGUAUCAAGUGCUCCUUCUUUCAGUUUUGGUUCCACCGCUUCCUUUGGCCAGUCAGCAUCUGCAUUUGGAAGUACACCAUUUGGAGUGUCACCAUCUCCUUUUGGUGUUCAGAGUUCCCCAUUUGGUAAUUCAUUUUUUCCUUCUAUCCAAAAAAAUUAUACUCCUUGAGGUCAGAAUAACCUGAAAAGCAUGUCUGUGUAGUAAUUAUUUUGAAUUUCUUGUUUAUAUCCUAUAGUGCUCUGGAGUACGUUUUUGAAUAGAAGUGUACUCAUUUAUCAAAGCCCUUCUCUUGCUCACCCUUUUGGAUCCCUUCCUAUUGGUAUUCUUAUCACUAUUCUGAAUUUUGUUCUCCCCUCUUGUGCUAAUCUUUUGCAGGUGCUCAGGCGAUGACACCAACAUUUGGUAGCCCAGGUUUUGGACAGUCAGCAUUUGGGGUUCAACCUGGAGGAACAAGAGUUGCAGCAUACAGUCCAACACCUGACAUUGAUGGUGGCACUGGUAGUCAGCCUGCUGGCAAGCUGGAAUCAGUAUCGGCGAUGCCUGCAUAUAAAGAUAAGAGUCAAGAGGAAUUACGAUGGGAAGACUAUCAACGUGGUGACAAAGGUAAGAACUAACCCUUUCAAUGUGACUCUUUUCUCUGGGUAUGGCGAACUUGCAUAACUUCUAUAUUUGUCUGUUAGUAAAGCUAAUAUUUCUUUUUUCAUAUUAUUGCACAACUCCAAAGUUCAUGUUAACCGGGUGAUAUCUUUUUCUUCUGAAAACGGCAGAAUAAGUGAGGUUCUGAAUCUGUUUAAACAAAAAAUUCUAAAGCUGAAAGUUCUGUAGGUAGCGCGACAACCCUAAUUUGGCAUGUAGAUCGAUUGUUUCCUUGUUUCCUGAGGCAAAAAAAUUAGCAUUUUGUGGCUGAAACUUUUGUUUCCUCGUGAGAAUUUGGCUUUAUGUAUCUUUCUCUGGUAAUUGUAUGUCCUAAAGCAUUCUUCAUCCUGGUUGGGGCUAUUCUCCAUAACUAUUGUUCUUCAUUGUCUUAAUGUUUAUUUCUUUUCCCACAAUUUUCUGCUUCUACUAUUGACUUGGUCUUUUUUGUUUGUGAUCUUAUAGGGGGCCCAAAUCCUUCUGGACAGCCUGUAGGGCCACUCAGUUUUUCUUCUCCAUCUCAACCCAGCCCUUUUGGUUCAACCGGUGCAUUUCACCAAUCUGCUGCAAACCCCUUUUCCUCCACAGCACCUUCCAAUCCUUUUGUUAUUAAACCUCCUAGUUUUGCUUCAUCUGGAUUUGGUUCUACAUCUACUUCACUUUUUAGCUCACCAUUCACUACAUCCUCAUCAAGCCCUUUUGGUUCCACUUCUUCCACGGCUUCACUGUUUGGUGCCCCUACUGGUUCUGCAUUUGGUGCAAGUUCAGCAUCCUCACCUUUUGGUGGAGCAACAACUUCUGCCUUUGGUUCAACUUCACUUUUUGGCUCCUCAUUAUCAGGGUCAACUUCUGCUUUUGGGACCGGCCUGGCCUUUGGCAACACUCAACCGUCUGGGUUAUUCCAGUCUUCUGUUUCACCCUUUGGUCAGACAUCAUCACCUUUUGGGCCAAGUACUGGAUUUCAGCAAACCUCCUCUGCUUUUGGAUCAAAUCUUUUCAGCACUCAAUCCACUGGUUUUGGGGGGAGUUUAUUCAGCAGUUCAACACCGUCACUGUUUCCUUCAAGCACUCCUGCUGGAUUUGGUCAAACAGCUGUAAGUAAUAUUCAAGUUAUGCUGGCUUGGUCAGAUUUUGAUAUACAUAUUACAUAUACAUGUAUGCUUACAUGUAAUAAAUUUUUAUACCUGACUGGCUUGCAUUCUUCUGUAGUUGAACUUACUGCUUGUCUUUUACAGCCUUCUCUGCAGACACCUUUUCAAUCGGUACCGGUAGCUCCGACAUCAAGUUCAUUUUCUUUUGCCAACUUUGGUCAGGCAUAUCCAAGUAUGUUUGAUGAGUUUUUCUUCUACUUGUUUUUGUUAUGUAUUACAUCUUUUUUCUUCUUUCUGGCAUUUCAGCCUCUUCUGGUGGCUUUGGUGGCAUUUCAAAUAUCUUCAAUCAAGGCAUCUUUGGACAGUCGUAUGUUCCUUUUCUUCUGCUGUUCUUUUUUCUCCUCAGAUUACCGCUUUGUUAUUGUUGUAUUUAGUUUUUAGUUGCCAUUCCCAUGUAAUUAUGACUGUUUUGGUUCUUUAUUCAAGAGUUUCUAGAAUGGUACUAAGUAAAAGUGAAUAGUAGCAUAUUGUGGUAAAAUAUGCUGUUAGCUGUUCUGAACAUCUCUUAUAUAUUGUUUACUACAUUGGAAGUGAGAGUACCGGACAACAGUUCACUUAUCCUAUCUUUUGUUUCAAAUGCUCAAGCUAGUAUGUGAUGUUUAGUUGUUAUCCAGUAAGGCAAAUGAACAACCUGUGGGAUGUUUUUUUUUUAAGGGACAGUAUGUAAGGCUUCAUGAAAAUGCUGCUAUUAGUCCUGUCUUAUUUCCUAAGUACAUGUUUUGACCUUUUCUGUCUAUAUCCUGUUCUUUGUCUAUGAACCAGUGCUUCUAGUCAAUCCAAUAUGGUCAUGCAACCAGCACCUGUUGCAAAUCCUUUCGGAACACUUCCAGCAAUGCCUCAGAUGUCAAUUGGUCGUUUGGGCUCCACCCCUUCAAUUCAAUAUGGAAUUUCUAGCAUGCCUGUAAGUUUUUUUUUCCAAGACAGGGAACACUGUAGGAAAGUACCAGAAUCUUUCUUGUGAUUGUACAUGCUGUGAUUUUAUCAUUGAUUUGUGCUGUUAUCAUAUAUCAUGCUUCAGAGAUUCAUUAUGUGAAUUUUAAGUUAUUAACAACUUCUUUGCUGUUAACAGGUUGCCGAUAAGCCUCUUCCAGUAAGAACUUCUCCAUUGGUGGUUCCUAGACACAGAUCUCAAAGAAGCAUUAGGCUACCUCCAAGGAAAUAUUCUCCUAAAACUGAUGGCCCAAGGGUGAGAGAUUGAUAUUGGGACAACUUACAACAAUAAUAAUUUGGUUAUAAGAUUUUCAACAAAAAGAAUUAUUUGGUUAUGAGUUAAUGAAAUGUAAGUUUGAAAGAUGUCCUGCAUUAUAUUAAUCAUUUUUCCUGAGGAAAAGUCACUAUUUUUCUAAUAGCAGGUGCCUUUUUUUUCUGAUGAUGAAGACACACUUUCAACACCCAAGGCAGAUGCACUUUUCAUUCCCAGAGAAAACCCUAGGUCACUGAUUAUUCACCCAAAGGAGCAAUGGCCUUCACGAAGUAGUUUGGGAAAAGAAAGUAUCUUAAAAGGUGGACCGACUAAUACUGCUAAUGAAAAUGGUAAAAUAUUUCCCGCUCAGGAUGCAUUAACCACCUGAUUACUUUGAAUUCGCAAUAAGAUUUUUCUGCAGAAAUUUUUAACAUUAUACACUAUUUUAAUAGUGUCCGAUAUAUUGUAUGGUACAGUUGGUUUGAUUUGUUCUCAUUAAGUUGGUUAUAAUACCUUUUUUUGAGGUAAAAAAGGAGGAUUAGUAUUUAUUCAUUAUGGUAUUAUUAGAGUGUCUAACCUUAGUGAUUCUUGGAUAUAUAAGAGCAAUUUGCUGUAAUUGCCAUUUGAGCCGUCACUUGGAUAGUAUGCAAAUGCAUACACCAUUUCAUUUUGCAUUACUUGUUAUGAUUGACUUUUGACUUAUUUUUCCUUACAACGUAAAAGCAUGAUUAAUGAAAUUUGAAGGAAGAAAUUACGAGCUGAUGCUAAGCUGAUCAACAACACAUUCAAUUGUAGAAGAGUAUAAGAUUAUAGGCUCACAUGUGCAGCAACCAACUGGCUCAUGUAAAGAAGAAAACAAGUUCAGCGAUACAUUAGCAAUUUGGGUGCUUUGGAGUGUUCUGUGAUGACCUUAUUUUCAUUGAAGGUCCGUGUGCUUUUAGGGUUCCCUAGAAUCUUUAUACAGGUUUUAGAGUGACCACUGACCAGGAUCUCCUUUGUGCUUAUGUCCAGAAACUGGAAACAAGGUGCAGAUGUGAGUCAGAAAGGAACUAAUCCAAUAACUUGCAGACCAGAAAUGAACUGGUCUACAAAACUAUAAGGCCUUGAAACUGGAGUUACAUAUGGCAACUAGCAAGAAAACUGAAAUUGUUUCCCUUGUAAUUUUCUUGGGAUUGUACUACUAAAAAGUUCGACUGUAAGCAUGUUCUAGGGUGAAAAAGGAUUUGGAACUUGCAGGAGUAAGAAAAACAAGGACCAUGUCGAUUGGUCAGUCUCUGAAUCUUUUGUCCUCUAAAGCUACGAAAAAUAGAUUUUAACGCAUAGGGGAUACUUAUCUUUUCUUCAGCAAAAGUAUAAAACUUUAAACGAGAACUAUUGCAUGCAUUUUCACAAAAUUUGUAUUGCACAGUUAAUGGCUGAAGCUAGCAUAACUUUCUCAAAGUACAAUCCUAACUUUUUUUUAUGGGCCACCUUAUCCCUCUUGAUAAAAUUGUUUCUGUAAGUUGUGUCCUAUCUUCCUAUCUUAAGUGUUUCCAAAGGUUACAGAUCAGGAUGGUUAAGUGCCUGAAAGAGGCCAUCUUCGUUAAAAUUGUACCCAAUUGUUAUUGUUGCUUUUGCUGUAAAAAGUGACUGAAAGUAGUUGGAUGUGAAAUAAUUCCUCGCUCUUUUGGGUGAUACUAGUCUUUAUAGCGCAAAAUCAUUUUCGUUGAUGAAGUAGUAGUAGAAGCAUCAUUUGAUGUGAGAUGCUCCCUAGACAUAUUUUUAUUUAAUACUAUCUUUUCCUUCUUAGUGGUAAAGAGGUAAAACAGAAGGCAAGUAAUGACAGUUAUUUUUAACAUUGUGUGUACAACAUUUAAUAAGCCUCGUGAUCAAAGUUUCUGUGCAAGAAAAUUGUGAUAUUGAUCCAAUAAAUUCGACAUUGAGAAUUCUUGUGGCCUAAAAGUUUGUGGAUCGAUCAGACUCAGUUGUAACUCAUGGCUAAUCCUGGUCGACUCCAGGCAGUCACAGUGAUCUUAGCCUGGAUUAAUCCUUACUGAUUUGAAAACUUUCCACUCAUAUCCAGUCAGACACAAUGGAUAUUGACCACCUGUGGGCUUACAGCCCACACAGUGGCAAGAUGAUGGUGUGAUCUUCGGAUUUUCUAGUUGGUCUUCAUUGUAAAUUUCCAAAUUAAAUUCCAUUGAUUUUCCUCUACUGCAUCUUCAAUGGAUCUCUCUAGCGCACCAGCAAUAUUUACAAUUGUUUCUUACAUGUCAAUGGCUUCAUAUGCUGUACAUAUUAGGGUUUAAUAUUUAUAAGUUAAUCUAGCAACAAUUCAUUUUUCAUAUUUUCGCUAAAGAAGUUAUUUGAUCUUUAGACCUAUAAGUUCUUCUAACAUUUACAUAAUCUGGAAAGAUUUCUUGUGGAGAACAUUUAAGAUAUUUUGCAUUAUUUUAAGUACUAUGCUAUGAUAGAGAAGCUUCUGUUCUUAAUAAGGGAAACCAUAGAAAAUGUAGUCUUAACUAAACUGUUUAAAGGAUAUAAAUGAUGUCUGUGAUUAGAUUGUUGUGGUAUCCGGUGGUCUAGUAAGUCGAUGGCGACGGUGACAUCUAGUUGACUUUGUGGCGAACAUUAGAAACCCAAUGAUGAUGCUGGGCAGAGUAAGUCUGGCCUAUCUACAGUUCUGUACAAGGCACUUCUGUGAAUCAGUGCAAUGAUGACUUCUUAUUUAAUUUAUUAGAUGAAGAUCGCAAAUAUUCUUUCUUUUGAAACUAGGAUGGAUCCAAUAUGUCAGGUGCAAAAGGGAUCUCAUAUCAUUUUCUUGAAGCAGGAUGAGUCUAAAAAUAUAGUGCUGUUGUGAGGGGGCAUGUUGGGACCAUCAUCCUUGCAUGCUAAUGCUUAUUCAAGGAGAAGAUUUUAUCUUGGAUUUCUUUGUUCAUUCUGUUGCAGAGUUUCAAUUUCGAGUCUAGUUAUUGGUGAGAUAAUGAUAUGUUAGGUAGUUAACAUACCUUUGCUUGGAACUUUUGUCUUACAUGAUAUCAAAUUUGAAGAUGUAUUGUGUAACUUCAGUGCUCACUGUGAGUGAGUUGUUUCCUUGUCCUGGAUCUUUGUAAUUUCUAUCAAGUGAUUCUUUAAAUAAAUAUUAGUCUUGCACAUCAGAAGUGUUCCAUCAAAUUCAUUUCACUAAUACUAUUUGCUGAAUGUUUGGUCACUCUCUAUGUUGCUCCAACUUGAAUAUUUUUUCUGUUUGGUUGUAAUAGCCUUGAUUCAUUUUGUUACUCCAACCAUGUGUAACGAUGAUUCUUUCUUCAGGUAAUGUAUCAGAAAAGCCAUUUGCUCCAACUUUUAAAGAACCAUAUGCAGGUGACAAUGAUGGUAAGUUCAUUUCAUCUAUUUGUCUUUUUUGAGAGACUAUUGGAAAUUCCUGUCUUCAGCAGAAAAGGAAGUUCCUUAUUACUAGUAUCAAACAGGCAUUACAGAUGUUUCUGUUUGAAUUCCUCAAUGGUUGGAGAGCUUAGUUGUAAAUUGUGUGGGUUUAAAUGUAGUUUGUGUAUAUUUGAUAAUAUAUAGGGCCUUAUUUUUGACUUGUCAUCUUUUUUAUGCUGAUUGAAGGCAAUUAAUAUAGUGCUAGUGAUUAUUUUUGUGGUACCAAUUGCCAUGAUCUGAUAAUACCUGCUAGACCAAUAAAGCACAGAUUAAUCUUUAGUCACAUGAUCCAAAAUGAUUAAUCAAUUACUAGUAGUACUCCCAAGUCCCAACUAGGUUCGUACAUUAUUCUUAGCCUAGCAUCUCUAGAUGAUUAAUCAGGUCACCAACAAAUUAAUAAUCUGGAUGUAUGCAGUUCAAUUAAAAACAAAUCUUGAGUGGACUUUUUCUUUAGUUGUCUUGGAUAGAUUUAUUGAUAGUUUUCUUUGACUAGUCCUAGUAUUAUAUACCUUCCUUAAAACUUCUCUUUUGGGGUGAAUUAUUAAGAUAACUAUUUUCAGAUUCUCAUUUCUCACUUGCAUUUAAAAUGACGCAGAACGUGGUGCUGAGAACGGUCACACAAGGGAGCAAAUUGACACGGUUAUGCCACUUACAGAGCCUUUGCAUGAGACAAAUAGAACCGAUGAUGAUCAGCUGCCGAAGGGAACAGACUCUUCAUAUGUGAAAAUAUAUGGGCAGAGGCCUGGUGAGGCUGCAACUGCAUACAAGCACGAUGCAGGCAUAGAAGCUCUCAUGCCCAAACUUCGCCAUGCUGAUUACUAUACCGAACCUAGCAUCCAGGAACUGGCUGCAAAAGAGCUUGCAGAACCAGGCUUCUACUGCCAUGUCAGAGAUUUUGUGGUUGGCAGGCACGGGUAUGGCAGCAUCAAGUUUUAUGGAGAAACCGACGUAAGACAGCUUGACUUGGAGUCAAUCAUCCAGUUCAACAACCGUGAAGUGAUUGUUUACGGUGAUGACAGCAUGAAGCCUCCAGUUGGGCAGGGUCUUAACAAGCCGGCUGAGAUAACUCUUUUGAAUGUCAAGUGCAUGAACAAGAGGACAGGGCAGCAGUAUACAGAAGGCCCCAAGGUCGAGAAGUACAAGGAGAUGUUGACACAGAAAACUCAAGAACAGGGGGCCGAGUUCAUAUCGUUUGUUCCUAUCAAGGGGGAGUGGAAGUUCAAGGUCAUUCACUUCAGCUGUUACGGGUUUUUGGUAGAUACCGAGAUAUGUAGGAAUCGUGCAGGUCGUUCCUAGCCUCGUUUUCUACAUUUUCUUGCCAAAGUGAAAGCUUUCUGUGGAUAAACAUGUAUGACUAGGAGAUAGCUUAGUUUAUUGUCCAUAAUUAUACUCCUUUGUAGUUUAUUGUCCAUAAUUCUACUCCUUUGUAUCGCCUUUGUGUAUAGGCUCCUCUUUGAUGCAUGUGUGUCCAGGUUAACCUGCUCGUUUUGGAAUCACCCUACUGUGACACAGCCAUCAACUGAGAUCUGUGUGCUAUGCACGCAAAUACUAUUUUGGAAUUUGCUCCUCUCUUAUGUAUGUAUGUAUGUAUGCAUUCUCACUUUGGUAAUGCACAAGGCAUCAGAUUAAAGAUCUGUAUUAUAAGAUAUGAACAUAAAGAUGAAUUGAUUAAUACUAAGGAUGUGGAGUGAGAUAAAAGAAAUAUUGAUAUAUUUUAUUGAAAAUAGUGAAUGUUUUAAAGGGUGAAUUUUUUAGAAAAACCUCUACGUUUAAGAAUUUUUCAGCCAGUGUCUCAAGUUAUAAAAAAAUCUUAUUGUAUCAUAGUCAUGUGAAAAGAUUAUUUUAUUUAUAAUAAAUUUUUAUUUUUUUUAUUUUUGAACUUAUCGUUACUUUCGUCAACUCAUCUUCAUUCUGUACCAUCACACGUAGCUCUUGUCGCAUCACUCGUAACUCUGGUAAUCCAUUUUUUACCCCAUGGUUGGUUGUCCUUUUAGCCCACAUCCCUCGUGUGGGGCCUAUUGUUUGUCGCUAGCACUCUUAACUCUCUUUUCCACUCUUAACCCUCUUCUUAUUGUUGAUCCCCUGUAAGGAAGAAAGAGAGGUAACUCGUCCUCACCCAUGAUCUCCAUCGUUGGUCAUAGAGGCUACGUCUCUAUUAUGGGUCUAAUGACCCAUGUAAGAAAGAAAGAGAGGUAACUCGUCCUCACCCAUGAUCUCCAUCGUUGGCCAUAGAGGCUACGCCUCUAUUAUGGGUCUAACGAGGGUCAUUGCACCUCUAUCAAUGGGUGGCUUUACGACCAACAAGACAGAGGCACAACUAAGGGUUGGGCGGAGGCCAAAGGAUGGUGAUUGACAAUAGUAGAAUGAUCAUUUUGAGAAAGGGGUGCUAUGCCAAAAUUUUUCAGCCCGGGGAACAAUUCUCAAACUUAAGUAUUUUUUCGAAAAUUUACCCUUUUUAAAAUAUUUAUUAUGAUUUAAAAAAAAUCGUAUAGCCAAUCUCUUGGUUGAGAUGGUAUGGCUUAUUGUGGUUGUACUUCAUGAGAAUCGGAUCUGAGACAAAUCGGACUGCGUUGGAUCCGAUCCGUUUAAUGGCCUCUUACGUCGGUUUUGGUACCCACGGAUUUGAUCCCGCGUAAAGCUGGCGCAGCGAUAAAAAAUUUAGCCGUCAGUGUGGAAAAAGUUAGCGUUGGCUUCAGCCACAACCCUAAUUCCCAUCGAAGCCAGCGGCGGGAAGAAGAUCAGCACACCUUCUCUGACUAGCAAUGGAGCCGAGCGUGGCGUUCGCCGCCGACAGCCCGCCGUUGUCCGUCAUCGCCGCUGCGAGAGUCGCCGGCGUCGCUCUCUCAACGGACCCCUCCCUCCCUUCCGGCUCCGACCCCGUCCUCCGCCUCGCGUCCGGGUAAGAACUUUACCUCCCUCCUGCUGCUCUGUCGUUCUUGGAUGGUCUCAUGCUUAGGAUCCCUUCGGCGAAUGCGGAAAAUCUUGUUGUUGAUUCCGAUUCUCUGCUGUGUACAGUCUAAUUAUUGGCGUGCAAAUGAAGUCAAUCAAACAUAGAUCUUGUCGUCUGCGGAUAAACUUUGCCGUCGAAGAAUGCGGCGAUUCUAUUUUCUGUUCCUGCUAGAUCUCUGUAUAGAAAACACUGUAAUUUUGAUUUUGCUUGACGGUUUUUGCUGGUCAUUGAGUGUAUAGGUUAUGUUCCUACGGAAUUUUUUAUUUUUCUUACUCAACGGGUAUGCGUGUUACCGAAUCCCAAUUCUUUUGGCUUCCUUUGCGGAUUCUCUAAUCUCACCUUUUCUUUCUUUCUUUUGUUUUCUUUUCUGCUCUUCUAUGCUGGUCUUGGGUGGAAAUACCAAUUGAAUCAUUGUGAUCUUUAAAUAAAAAAAAGACAAAACAAGAAAAUUAUUAUUUAUUAAAAUGAGCGAACAUUACUAUUAAAUUAUGCAUUCACUUUAAUAAAAACAUAAUUAUUAAUUUAAGAAUAUUGUGAGUUACUAAAUCUUAAAACUUUAUUUAUAAAUUUUAAUAGUUGCAUAUACGUAUCAUAAGAUUCAAUUUUUAUAAAUUAUAGGAUAUCUGACUUUGCAACCCCUUUUAUGAUCCUAGGUAGGUAAGCGAGUUUGAUAUUUGAUAACUUCUGCUUUUGGAUAUCUUUGGUUUCUAAGUCACUUUAUAUACCUAACUUUUUAUGGUUUGCUUGAUGAUACAGAGAGACCUUGCAGGGUACUAACUCUCUCCUGCGCUAUAUUGGGCAAUUUGCAGCUCUUCCUAAUUUCUUUGGGCAGGAUGCAUUUGAAGAAGAGCAGGUAUUAACACCAUGGCUUAGUGUUUGCUUUUGAGGCAUUUUUGCUUCUUGGAUCACUGAAGAUGCAUGACCAACUGUCCAUCGGUGUUUUUGACAGAUUAAUAAAUGGCUCGAGUUUUCUUCAACCUUUCUAUCAGGCUCUGAAUUUGAGAAUGCUUGUGCGCAUGUUGAUGGACAUCUAACUUUCCGAACCUUGUUGGUCGGUUUUAAUUUGUCCAUUGCUGACAUUGCAAUAUGGUCUGCUCUUGCAGGUAGUAUCUUAACUUCUGCUACUUGUUCUAUUUUUUUCAUGUGUAUGCCUUAUAUUUCACAGACAACCUUUCUGCUUGCAGUGGUAAGGCUGCAUAUAUUGACCCUUCUGAUGUUCUGCAUUAGCAUGAGCCUUGUGCAUGAUGCUGCUUUUUCUUUUUUAUACAUCUUAUAUUUCUAAUAUUAGUCUAUUAUUGGAUUCUUAUUGAUAUUUUUUAUAUCAUGAUACUACCUCCUAUCACCAUAGGCACUGGGCAGAGGUGGGAAAGCCUUAGAAAAUCUAAAAGGUAUCAAAAUUUAGUUCGUUGGUUCAAUUCCAUAUUAACAGAACAUGGAGAUGCUCUGAAUGAAGUCACUGCUGCAUAUGUUGGGAAAAGAGGAUUAGGUAAGUUUCCUGUAGGUAACACUAAGGGAAUAGUAAGCAGUGGCAGUUCCAAAGAAACAAAUGUGCGGUCUCUGCCAAAGGAAACUGCUGGUGGCUUUGAAGUAGAUCUUCCUGGUGCAAAAGUUGGGGAUGUGUGCUUGCGGUUUGCCCCAGAGCCUAGUGGGUAUCUCCACAUUGGGCACUCAAAGGCAGCUCUGCUGAACAAGUACUUUGCUGAGAGAUACCAAGGACGGCUAAUAAUUCGCUUUGAUGACACAAACCCAUCAAAAGAAAGUAAUGAGUUUGUUGAUAAUGUGCUGAAAGACAUUGAGACAAUGGGCAUCAAGUCUGAAAAGGUUACUUACACAUCAGAUUACUUUGAGGAUUUGAUGAAAAUGGCUGAAAAGUUGAUAUUGGAAGGAAAAGCUUAUGUUGAUGAUACACCAAGGGAGCAGAUGCAAAAGGAGAGGAUGGAUGGGAUUGAGUCAAGAUGUCGGAACAACUCUGUUGAUGUGAAUCUUGCAUUGUGGAAAGAGAUGAUUGCCGGGUCUGAGAGAGGUCUGCAAUGUUGUGUAAGGGGUAAGCUGGACAUGCAGGAUCCUAAUAAGUCCCUUCGAGAUCCUGUUUAUUAUCGCUGCAACCUGGUUUCUCACCACCGUAUCGGGUCUAAGUAUAAGGUCUAUCCGACAUAUGACUUUGCUUGUCCAUAUGUUGAUUCUAUUGAGGGCAUUACUCAUGCUCUUCGAUCAAGUGAAUAUCAUGAUCGCAAUGCACAGUAUUACCGUAUUCUUGAGGAUAUGGGCCUGCGAAAUGUCCAAAUAUAUGAGUUUAGCCGAUUGAAUAUGGUAUAUACACUUCUUAGCAAGAGAAAACUUCUUUGGUUUGUCCAAAAUGGUAAAGUCGAUGGAUGGGAUGAUCCUCGCUUCCCAACCAUCCAGGGCAUUGUACGUAGAGGCUUGAAGGUUGAGGCACUAGUACAAUUCAUUCUUCAACAGGUCAGUUGCAUCAUAAUUCCCUUAACCUGUUGUCCUAUGAAACAUAUUGAUUUCAUUAUUUAUGCUUAGCAUUUCCUUUUGUGCAGGGUGCUUCUAAGAACCUGAACCUAAUGGAAUGGGACAAAUUGUGGACCAUCAAUAAGAAGAUAAUUGAUCCCAUAUGUCCAAGGCAUACAGCUGUCCUUGAGGAACGACGUGUAAUAUUAAUCCUUGAAAAUGGGCCCGAGAAGCCCUUUGUUAGGAUUGUGCCUAGGCAUAAGAAAUAUGAACCUGCUGGCCAAAAGGCUACAACGUAUACAAAGAGAAUAUGGUUAGACUAUGCUGAUGCUUCAUCAAUUACAGAGGGUGAAGAGGUCACGUUAAUGGACUGGGGAAAUGCUAUUGUAAAAGAAAUCAAGAAAGAAGAUGGAAUUAUAACCCAAUUGGUUGGUGUUCUCCAUCCUGAAGGUUCUGUUAAAGCAACAAAAUUGAAGCUUACAUGGCUUCCUGAAAUUGAGGAGUUGGUUCAUCUUGCACUGGUUGAAUUUGACUACCUAAUAAAGAAGAAGAAGGUAAGUUGCUACUGUUUCCAAGUUAACAUGCUUGAUUUUUUCUUUUUAUGACUAUUUGUUCAUUUAUCAUCAUACUUAAUUUCGUCAUACCUAGAAGGUCAAUAUUUCCUCUCAUCUAUAUCUUCUGAUAUAUUACCGAGUUAUUCAUUUAGUAACCACAAGAUCAAUUGCUUCCCAUUCUGGCUAAGCAUGUUUUCUAUAAGAUGCCACUGAAAUUUCCACUUGACAUAGUGACCUUUUUUAUAUGAUUUCAUCAUGUGUAUCAGGCAAUUCCAAACUCUUGUUAUUUAUGAGUUCACUUGGCAGUCUAUGCAUAUAAUUAGGUUGGGAACUGAAAUUUAAUGUUCUUAAAGUGAGUUCUAUAUAAUCAAUUCAAAGGGCGAGAACUGCACACUAAGAAUUCAAAGAUCCUCCCUGUUUUUUUUGUAGAAUUAGAAAAUCGGUAUCUUUCCAGCAUCUGAAGUAUAGUAGAACAGUAAGUAUUUUGUUUGUUAAUGCAUUUUAUAUUUAAUUAUGUGAUCGAACAUGAGAAAGAAACUAUACAAACACUGAAUAAUCUUAAAGGGGUAUUGUCUAUUAAUAGAACUUGGGAAGUGAACCAGUGUUUUUCUGAUGGGAGAGUGGUGGCCUUUAAAUAUUUGGAAAUUGAUCUUAACCUGUCAAAAAAGAUUGCAGUUUUGAAGAGCGGUUCAUACAUCCACUUAUGCGCCCGCAUCUGCAGGUGCAGUCGAUGGCUUACACCCCAUCGACUGUUCAUGUUCAUGUUACAAAAAAAAAGAAUUGUAAAUAGACCUCAUUGUUUUAACAUCCUAAUGCCUGUGGAGUAUGACAUUUUUCUUGUGGCAUUUGAAAAACUGUUGAUUGAUUUGGUGGAACUACAGCUUGAAGAAGGGGAAGACUUUCUUGAUAACUUAAAUCCUUGCACAAGAUGGGAAAUCCCAGCCCUGGGUGAUGCCAACAUGCGGAACCUGAAACAGGGUGAGGUAAUACAGCUUGAAAGGAAAGGCUACUACAGAUGCGACGUGCCAUUCUUAAGGCCUUCAAAGCCGAUUGUGCUGUUUGCGAUCCCAGAUGGAAGGCAGCAGGCAUCCUAAACUCAGAGCCACCGAAGCAGCUAUUGGUCCAAUUUAUGCCCGUGUUUGAAUUUGGAUCAGUAUUUUUGUUUAUGGUUCGUUUGGACAUCAGGAAUGAGACUUCCUCUCCUUUACAUCCCAUUUUGGGCUUAUCCAAUGCAAAAGUUGAUGACUGAAACAAUCCUUAAGAUCUUUGAAAAUCCAUACUUACACAUGUGAUGUGUACUGAGAAAAAUGUGAAGUCCCAGCGUGCUUGCUGUAGUUGAUCAUGAUAUCCUGCAUGAGUUGGAUAAAAAUAUCUCAUACAGCCGGAAUAAAACUUCAUCAACAACAUUUCUGCAUGGGAAAUGUUAUAGCUCUGUUACUCACUUGACAUCUUUAUAGAUACAUUUUGGAAGCUACGACCACAAAUCCAUGGUAUUUGCGAACAGUUCAUUUGUCAACUCCCUUUCUAUUAAGAUUCUUAGUCACUUGCAGAUGUCUUGCAUAAAAGAGCAGCUAUUUUCCUAACUUCUCACUGAAACUUCUGCAAUAUUCUUAUACAGGUAAAACAACCACCAUUAGUAGCAAUUACAAACUUCCCCAUUCCACUUCAUCAAAGUGGGCAAAUGUUAUUCAGAUCUUUUAAAGAGAAUUAAUUAUUGUAGUAAUAAUUUCAGAUGGAGAUUAUUUUGACUUUUUUAAACAGGAUUACUUGAUUCUUCUUGUAAUAAAAUAAUCAAACAAGUUAAUUGUUCUACAAUGAGAAAAUACUUUCUACAAGCAUUUGCCAACAGCUCAUUCCCUUGAUAUAAUCAAAUUCUCCUUUCAACAUUAUAUAAUUAAUUUAUCAUAAAAAUCAUCAUUGUUAUUUAUUUUUAAAUUUAAAUAUAAUUUUGAAGUGGGACAAAAAAGGAAGAGGGCAAAAUAGAAAUUACAAACUAAUUAAUUAUAUAGAUUUUUUAUUGCGAGGAAUCCUUAUCCCUCCUCCUUAGUUUGUAAUAGAUUUUUUAUUACAAACUAAUUAAUUAUAUAGAAAUUAGGGUUUUCAUCGUCCUCCUUUCAAGCUAGACAUUUUUAGUAUCAUGGUUCUUAGACUUAAAAAAUUUACAUUGAAAUCCAUAUAAUUAUGAAAAUAAUCAUUUAACCUCAUUUAUCCUAACGUCGUCGGUUUUAUGGAAGAUACAAUAUGUGGCAUCGUGGAUGGUGGUUGUGGUGGUAGUCGAUGGCAAUGAAGCGAUGGUUGGCCUUGUCGAUGUCAAUCGGAAUAUCGAUGACGAAGAGGAAGAUGAGACAUUUACAUUAGCACCAGAGAAGAAAGAGGAGGAAGGUCAGGCAUUUACAUCGAUGCCACACCACUUUACCUCCUCUUGCUCCUCCGAGGCCACUCUGCAUUUGCGUCAAUGUCGGAGGAGGAAGAGGAGGCACGUGAGGCAUCUAUGCCACUGGCAACGAUGAGGGAGAAGGAAGAGGAGGUAGAUGGGGUAUUUGCUUAACACCAUGCUCAAAUCCUCAGAUUGUCACUUCGUCCAGUGGCAUAGUGGAUUCGAGAAAAGGAUGGUGGGCGACAAGAAGGAGAGAGAGGUUGUGAGCGAGGUCGGUGAAGAGGAACACUUGCUUCGAGCUCUCAGGCUUUAGCCGACACAUUCGCCUCGACCAUAGAGGCAUGGUCGCUAACUUGCUUCUAGAUCAAUUCCACCCGCAAUUAGAGGGGAUCUAAUCAGAUGAAAAAUGGAGGCUCGAAUAAUACAAAUCUGAUGAUGGUAGAGACAACAAACCCUCAUGCUCCUUCCCGCUCACCUCCGAUACCGUAAUGGUGGGGGAGAAUAUCAGAAAGAUGGCGAUGACAGAUACGACGAGUGAGAUAACGAAGAAACGAUGGGAUCAUUAUGGUUAGCCUUUGAAUUGAGAAUUAUCAUUUUGGCUAGGGUUUUGAGAUUGAUCGUUGAUAUCCACUUUACCUCACUUGCCUCCUCUUCCUCCUCCCUCCUCGUCGUUGGAGACGUAGAUGUCACACCUACCUUUUCUUCCUCCUUCGGCUUUGACACAAAUGCAGAACAAUUUCAGAGGAGGUAGAGUGGUGUAACACCAACACAGAUGCCUCAUCUCCCUCCUCUUCUUCCUCCUCUUCCUUCUUGUCAUCGAUAUUUGAAUCGACAUCGGCAAGGUCGACAACCACGUCAUCAUCGAUCACCAUUACAAUAGUCACCCACGAAUUCGUCAUCCUCCUUAAAAUUAUCUUUUUACUCAUUUUAUGAUAAAUAAAAUUAUAUAUUUUAUUUUUAUAAUUAUAAAAUUUUAAUAUAAAAUUUUUAAAUAUAGAAUAAAAUAGGUGUAAGCUGUCGGCUGUAAUGUGUAACUCCUCCCUCUUCGUUCUCGCUCGCUUUCUCCCGAUAGAGUGACGUGAGAACAAAAUGCUGGCGAGCAGCGCUCCUCCUCCUCCCCUUCUCCUCCUCUCUCCAAAGCCCUUUACUUCCUCCUCUUCUUUCUCCGACUCGGCGCCUCCUCGCCCUCCGCUGCUGAUGUGGCUUCUCCUUCGAACACGCCCCUCAAGGGGAGAGGGAUGCGUCGCCGGUGGUGGCUGCGGCGUCUGGCUGCCGCGGCUACUAGCGCAUCCCCAUGGAGACGGCCGGCCCUUACCGCCUGGUCGACAGAGAGACUGGGGAGAAGUUCAUCGUCUGGGAAGGCUCCGAUGACAACAACGAUGCCGACACCCCCAUCCCCUCUGCGGAGGUCCUCUCUUGGAAACCCCCUGUCGCCGACGAUCGACAGGAAAGUGAGCAAUCCUUGUCCUCUCCUCCGCUUGUAACCUUCGUGGAUUACAAUUCCAUUCAUGAGGCAGAAACCCAACCUCACGUUCUAAAGAACGCGGUAAUGAGUUGGUAAAAAACCCAACAUGCGAUUUAAUUUUUCCUUUUGUUGAGACAUACACAUUGUUGAGCUGGUCAUGAUUGGUGAGGACAGGUUGAUGGUUGCUGCUUCUUCAUUAAGGGCUGGUCUUCAUACUAUGAGAUGUUUUAUCCUGAUUCUUUCUUAUCAAUCGUCUCCUAAGGUUGCAGAGGUUUUUUCAUACCACAGGAGUUGAUGUGAGUCGGCUUGCAUUACCGCUCGGUACGCAGUCCAAUAGAAGACCAAUAUAGGCGGUACAUUGGUAUAUCUUUAUAUAUCAUGUGUUUGGUAUCUUUGAUACAACUCAGUACGUAUUGUACCAACAGCUGAUCGGUACACUGGUACGGACCGGUAAGAUGAACCAUAGAUGUGAAUGAAGAGAGUUGCGCCUGCUGGUGGAUCUCUUCGAGGUUUCGGAAGGCUGAAAGGCACAGAAUCUGAAAUCCUUGAUAAAGGAAACCUCCAAAAAUUAUAUGGAAUAUUCUCAAAUUGGAAGUGCCACGAUUGCUGGAGAUUCAUCUUCAAGUGAUGCCAAUCGAAUAGAUUCAUUUGGUUCUGGCAGAGCACAGGGUGACUCUCCUCAGGAUUCAUAUUUGAAGGACAAUUCAGCAGUGAAUGAAGAGAUUGAAGCCACAAAUUCUUUUCGCUUGAAUUCUAGAGAAGAUGAUUAUGCUUCAUUUCUAGACAGAUCUGUUCCAAGGAAUGCUUCCUUCAUGGGAUGGGGAGGUGCUGCUUAGCUGGCCAGUCGAAGCAGCACAGUAAAAUGGCUACUGAUGCUGGAUUUUUUAGCAGGAAAUCUUUCAAAGAUGUCGAUUGCACAGAUGACAUGGUCGGUGCUUUGAGGGGCCUGAUGUUCCUUCGCCCUUCACAUAUUCAGGUGUUUCUUAGUUUCGGCUGAGAAAAUUUGCUUUACUUUUUCUUCUGGUCUAUACCGGAAGUCUCACACUAUAUGAUAACCUCUGAUCAUGUUUGAUAGGAUGAACCCCUUAUAAGCUUGCUUAGUUUCUAUGAUCUCAGAGAAUCAUGAUGCUGUCAAAUCUAGUAAAUUUGAUCGAAGAAAAAUUUUAUGGGUUUCCUCUCAUGCAAACAUUAUAUAAAUUCUGUUCAGCCAAAUUCUCAUAUUAGAUCCUUGGCUUGCUUCUGAAUCUGUCCACAAUUAUGUCAAUGAAAUUAUCCAAAUUGAUCACUGGUUUGAUUUGGGAAUAAAGUGGCUUGUGGAAACUCAAGUAGCACUUUUAUGUAUUUUUUAAUACUGCAGGCAAUGGCAUAUUGACCUAUUAUAGAAGGAAAGACUUGUGUUAUUACUGAUCAGAGUGGAUCUGGUAAGACAUUGGAUUAUCUUGCUCCAACUAUAUAAUGCUUAAGACAGGAAGAGAUACUAGGGCUUGGUAAAGCAUCAUCAAGGAGCCCAAGAGUGAUAAUAUUGGUUCCUACUGCUGAAUUGGCUUCACAGGUUGGUGUUUGGUGUCACCAUCACCAUCUUUUUCUCUCUUUAUCGUUUUUUCUCUCUGAGCCACCAAUAGUUGAACUUGAUCUAUACCAUUUAGUUUUGAUGGUUUGGUUAAAGGUGGCUAGUUUGCUGUAAUUAAUUAACCAACUGUGAAUGCAGAAUUUUGGCUUAAUCUCUGGUCAUUAUUGUUUAUAGGUGAAAUAUCAAGUGAUAAUUAGCAGUUUGAGAAACCAAAUAAGUGACUAUUGACAUGUUUAAGAAAAACACGGAUGAAUGCCUUUACAACAGUAUCAUAAGCUACCAAACACGACAUCAUUGAUCAAUCUGUCUGUAUUAUUUGACAUUAAUGAGAAAGAAUUUAUUGUGUUUUGUUUAGUUUUAAAAGCACAAAUAAAGUUAGAAACCAAUUAUUGGUCAUAGACAUGCAGUAUCAUCCCUUUGCAUGCUCUUGGGAUAUAGCCAGAUAAAUAACUCUGUACAGCAAGUGUAUGUAUAACACUGUGCAGAUCAUGUGUAUCCCAAGAUCAUGCUCUUGCGAUAUACUUCGUUCAUGUAUAAUCCUAUGCAGAUCACUUUUAUGUUCUCCUUACUCUUUCUGACACAGGGAAUGAAAUUAAUCUAAAUUAAAGUUGCCAAACUCACAAAAUUUGUUAAAUGAGAAAUCUAGUGGACCUACAUUGAAAUGGAAACCAACAGCUUGUCCCUUUGUUGUUACAGGAUAAAUAUCUUGCCGCUCUGUCCUUCAAUUAGAUGAAUGAUGGCCAUUGCCUGUAGCAAUUAACUUGAUUUGGAACUUUUACUGACCUACAUUUUCACUUGCAAGUUCUUGUUGACUGCAGUGGUGCUGAUGGGGAGGAGAAGAAUCCAGAUACUGCUUUGAAAAAUAAGAAAUAUGUUCUUCUGCAGCUUUUAGAAGAAUGGCAGUUCCUAAAACAAUUGUUUUCUGCAAUAAGGUAAUGUUGAAUUUUUAAAUUUAUGUUUUGACUAAUUAGAAACAUGGAAGUUAUAAAAAUAAAACAGAAUGAGUAAUGUAAUCAUGCUGACUGGACAUAGUAUUGCUUUCUUACUUCGGCAAAUUUAAGGUCCAUCUUAAAAGAAUGUGUCUUAGCCGAGGAGCCCUUCAUAUGUUGACUUCAAGUUGGCAGCAUCUUUUGUAAUAGUAGGCAAUCAUUCCUCGAGUUCUGCCGAUUGCAUCCAACUGGGUGUCUCCUUUUUAUGUUAAGCAGUUACCUUGUUUUGUUCCACAGAUUGAAAUUUGCAGAAAGGUCAAGAAUGUGUUGAAUCUCUCCGGCAGGAAAGGAUCUCAAAUCAAAGUCUUGCCAUUCCAUGCCGCUAUAGCUCAGGAAGUACUCUUAUCAAACAUGAGGGUUUCUUAACUCAUGUUCAAAAGAUUUAAUGUUUGUGAUCUGCACUGACAGAUAACACAAAUGUGGCAAAUAUUGUAUUCAUUGUCUCAAAAUUAUCUAUGUAGCUUGCUUUAGAAAGCAUGAAAAUUAGAAAACACAUCUGAUUUACUAACGCAUGUGACUUGUUUAGUUUCAUAAUCCUCGAAUUCUGGGAGCCUGCUCCAAAUCUAGCAAAGUGUGUAGCGAAAAAGAGUUGCUCAAUAAGCUAUAAUGCUGGUGUUUAGAUAGCAGUUUAGCUGGUUUAACUUUUAUCACAUGUCCUUUACUCUUGUAAGUAAUAUACUGUCAUGGCUUCCGGCUAAUGAACACUUUACCGUAGCUCAUUUGAGUUGUCUUACUUUGAUUGUGGUGAAAUAACCAAUUGCAGGAAAAGGCAUGGCUGACAAACUGAUAUUGCAUGCUGAAUUAGGUAUAAUAGCAUAGUUUUUUUAAGACCAUACACAUUAAUUAAUGAUAUAUUGAAAUCCUUGGUUACAAUUAUCUUCAUCAUGCCCUCUGCCUUUUUCUUUUUUUUUUAUCUUCCUAUGCUUCUGUUGAAUAAAAAAGAAAGAAAACCGAGAAUCUGGGUUCGGUAGGUAAUGACAUGGCAAUUAGUCCUUUUUUCCUCACUGAUAUUGAUGAUCUUUCGACAGGGCAUCACGGGGCAUAGACUUUGCAGGUGUGGACCAUGUGUUACUCUUUGACUUCCCUCGUGACCCUAUCGAGUAUGUCUGUCAUGUUGGAAGGACAGCUCAGGGCGCCGGAGGCAACGGCAUGGCCUACAGACAAAGCAGGUCUCCUUGGCCAGGAGGAUUAUGGAAAGGAACAAGAAAGGCCAUCCAUGCCAUAGGUGACUGCUGCUUCUCUCUUCUCCAAACUGAUGAUCCUCUCUAUCUUAUACCACAGGUGCUUGACCGAUGCUCCUGUUUCUUGUUUCAAUAGCGAGAUGACAAAGAGAAGCUGUCAAGAGCAACACCGUGUACCACCGAAAACCUGAUUGGUUGAGGUAAUCUUUCUGACAUCAUCUUUUAUGCUUCAGUUCAUCCUAAAUUCUCAUAAAAUUUUUCAUAUCAUGCUCUGAACUUACAAAUAGCUGAUUCUUGAACUCGAGAACACCGGCUUUCUUUCUAUCUGCUGGUUGUGGGAUUGGAGAACUACGAGCAAAUAAAGUGGGAGACUCAUCUCCAAGCUGUAUCUUCAUUUCACAGCUUUUCAUUGUCAUGAAAGAUUUUGGCACAUAUCAACCUUAUCUAUUUUACAUUGUUUUUAUCUACACAUCAUGUCUCUGAUCCGAUGGAUCAUUGAAACAUUCCAUAUCCCCACAAGUGUAAAUUAUCAACUACAUCAGCAAGUACUAGGAUCAAAUGGUUCUUGUAUGGACAUCAAGAUCCUCACAAGUGUCAAUUAUCAAUUACAAUCGAUUUACAUUCAAUAUUAUUUGUGAAUGAUCAUCAAUAAAUUCUGAAAGAAUUUAUUCCUUAAUCAUGCUUGAUGUGAUGUCUUUCCAUUGAUUGGAUAUGGUCUAAUCCAAGAUGUUCAUGAACAAUUCGCUUCGAUUACCAGCUCUCAUAUUCAUCCAACUUUUCUAGGAGAACAUGAUAUCAAAAACCAAAAACAUUGUGAGUUUAGCAUUGCUCGAAAAAGUCAUCGUUACAAAUUCUUACGGAGGCGUUUGAUACGAAAAAUAUUUACUUUAAUACAUAUGAUAGCAUAGUUUGUAAAAAAAAAUAUAUAUAUUAAUAACAAUUAAGUCAUAUGGACAUCAAUCCAAAAUAGUAAAUUAGAAAAAUAUUUCUUUCAAUUAAAUCUAUUAUAAAAUUUGAAUUUGGCUACAAGAAUCGAUGUCAAUGAUUGUUUAUUCAAAGCUUUUAUCGUUUUGGGAUCUAACUAAAUCGUCAAAGGGAUCACAUUGAGAAUCCCAUUCAAUCUUGUUUUUUGUAUAGAUCAACCACUAAACAAAUACCUGAGUCGUUUUUGAAUUGAUCUUGUCAUCAUCCAUAUCCCUUACAUCAAUGUCUCAUGACUUGGUGCUUGGGAAUAGGGGUGAUCGUGACUUGGAAACUAUCGAUUUUGAUUUUCAAAUCAUUUGUUUUGAUUUUUCAAACUAAAAAUCGGAACUAAACUACACAGGUUCAGAUUCUGGAAGUGAACCAGAACAGUUUAUUCCGAUUCGAGCAGUUCCGAUUUUGGUUCGAAUCAUCAAUUUUUUUUAUUAAAAAUAAUUAUAUAUAUAUAUAUUUAUUUAUUUAUUUAUAAUUUUAUUUUUUAAAAAAUAAAUAUAUAACUAUAAUGAGUGUAGUAACAUACAAAAAAAUUAUAUGAAAUUAUAAAACUAUAAAAAUUAUAAUCAAAUAAAUGACAUUAUAAAGAUUCAAAAUAAGGUUUCUUUAAUUUAAAAGCAACACUUUAAUCAUUAUAACAUGAGCACUCUUUUUGUUAUAUAUAUAUAUAUAUAUAUAUAUAUAUAUAUAUAUAUAUAUAUAUAUAUANNNNNNNNNNNNNNNNNNNNAUUUUUCAAAAAUUAAGUGGCAAAUCGAAAUCGACUCAAAAUGAUUUGAUUCCAUUCGAAAUCAAUGAACUAUCGGGACGAUUCGAUUCCGGUUUCAGGUCACCCCUACUUGUUGUCGGUGAACAAACGUGUCGUCGCUGGUGAGUCAGCACGGCCUGGUCCACGGGUCGAUGUCGGGAGUUUUUUGUCGGCCGAGCUGGAUGCCGAGGUCGACCGAGCCCUUGCGACGAGGUCUUAAUCAGUGUCUCUCGGUCCGAGUACCGGUUGAUGUCUUGCCUUAGGGACUUCGGUCGGCGACUUCCGAGGUCGGGACGCUCGCGGGUCGUAGGUGGCUGCUUUCCUGCAAAAAUAACCUUCGUCGGGUGAUUUUCGAUUUUGGCCCCUCCGACGAGCAAGUUAAUUGUGGGUCGAAUUGUUUCUCCCCUUUAAACGGAUGUUGGUCAGGGGCUUUUUAUAUUUUUGUACGAGGGUCAGUUGCGCACGGGUUCGACAUGGCCCCUGAUCUUCGAGAGUUGAGACGAUACUUCUAACCGACCGUCGUCUCAGGACACGCGGAGCGACGUCAGACGACACCGCCCCGGGUUCUCGGGACGAGACAUGUCGAACCCGUGUCUCGGUACAGAUUUUGAAUUGGCGUGGAGGGGUGUUCCCUUUGCUGAUUCUCGGGCUGGCAUAGUGGCACGUGGGUCAAAUAAUUUCUUAGUACGGAUUGGUGUAUGACAUUGAUCGUGAUUGGGCUCAAAAUAUUUCUUAUCACUUAGUGAUCGAAGCUGUGACGAACGGAUCGUCGCAUUCCCACACGCCUCCAUGUCGACUUGGAAACCACACCCUUCGAACGCCGAAUCCAACGCCACCCAUCACCGCUACUCGUUCAUGGUGGCGUGCUAGUCGUUCACGUCGCACUCACCAUUAAUUUUGAGUUGCAUAGGCAAUUAACUUGGCUCUUGAUGUGGGCACUCACCAUUCGUCAUAUUUGCUUUUCUACGAUAUAUUUUAGUCCUUUGAAGAAAGUGUUUUAGUACGAUCUUCAUCGAUUAUUGAAUGUCAAUUAUUAGUCAAAACUUUUAAUUUAUCUAAAUAUCAUUAAAAAUUCCUCUAUCAUGAUGCUUAAUCUUAAGGAUAUAGUAGAUAUUUUAAUCUAUUAAAACUCAUAUAAGUAUAUAUUUAUUAUUAUUAUUAUUAUUAUUAUUAUUAUUAUUGUUGUUGUUGUUGCUGUUGAUAUUGAGUGAAUAAUGUGGAAGAUUGCAUGUGAAAGGUGAGUGGGGUCAGAAGAAGCCCCAUUCAAUCCACAUUUGUCUUGCUUGUUGCGAUCGACUUGCGGAGCUCUCCAAAGUUCAAUGCAACCAAAUGCUUAUGCAGUUGAAUGAUAAGUCUCCAUCGUCUGAAAGGGAGGAAGAACAUUUGUCAGUGUUAGGUAAGAGUAGUUGAUGCGUCACAAUGAUAACCAUACUUUUCAAAUGUUCUGAUAUGAUUCGAGCAUGAUUCAUUUAGGAUCCGAACUUGAAUCCGAUAAGAACCUAAGGAUGACCAAGCGGAAGAUAAUCUUCGCACUCAAAUAAGUUAUUGCAUCAUACGUCAGAUAUGAACGAGUUACUAGUUAAGGAUAGAAGAUCCACGUUGGAUCUAAUAAAUUUAUUGAUCUAUCUAACUUUAGCAAUUCCAUAUUCUAUUAUAGAGUUGGAUCGAAUCACGUAAAUGAACUCUCCCCCGAAGUCGUCGAGAUACUCGGAGGCAUAGGUCAUCACCUGCAUGGCUUACGUACAUCUUACGUACGACACCACGCGUGAGAGUGGGAACAGGAAUAAAGACAACUCUAUUUUCUACCUCGGUAUAUAAUAUUACUCGCAUCAUUUCAAGCUGUAUUCUCCAAAUUAAUGUAGUGUGUAGAAGAUAAACACUGCCCUCGAGCAUCACGUCAUGUUGUAUUCUCCAAUUUGAUAUAGUAUCUAGAAGAUAAACACCUCUCUCUCUCUCUCUCUCUCUCUCUUUGAAGAAUUCAAUGGAUAUAUGAAAUGUUAAUGGCGAAUCUGUGUUGUUACACAUCACGGUGAAGUAUGAACAGAGAGAGAGAGAGAGAGAGAGAGAGAGAGGAGAUUCUCUUUGUAACAGUUUGACCUAACCUUAACAAAGACGAGUGGAGAAGUGUGUUGACGAUUCAGAGAGGGUAGGCGUGAAGGCCCACACAAGUAAGCAUGCUUUUAAGGGCAUGGUUUACAAAGCUAACUCUCGUUAAUUUCAUGUGCUCCAUCGUUGUCUUCCAAGUCAUGCUCACGGAUAGGGUUUUCGCGCAUGCGCGAAAGAAUUUUGUACUCCUCUGAACUGCAGAGUUGCAGUCUUCGAUUAAGACAGCUUUAAGAUUUAUUCUCUGUAGAUUCGGGAACAAAAAGUCUAUGCAGUGGAUACAAAUCUUGCAUGCAUAAUUCAACAUCGGAUUUAGAUCUUGUACAUAGAUAUGUUUUAUUGCUUGAAGAAUCGAUGAGAAAGCAUCGAUGAUGUUGUGGCACAGAUGAGUUCAGAAUGAAGUCUUACGACACUUGUUCUUCAAGCUCUUUUGUUUAGUGCCACGUCAAAGCGUAAGAAAAGAUUUAAAUCGAUUUAUAAGAACUUAUAACUAUCAUUAACUUGGACUUAAACAUUUGAUUGGCAAUUCGGCUUAUCAAGAAUUCCAAAGAGUGGGUGAUGAUAUCAGAUAAGAUUUCUUGUACGAGAAAAUCUCGUUGCUUUGUUGAUCAUAACCUCUAUAAAUAGGGAGAACAUAUCAAUUAAUUUCAUAAAAAUACAUCUUCUAUCAAUAAAAUCUUGUUGUGCUUCGCCAAGACCGGUUCUUCUUCCGUCCCUUCACAUGUAGAUUAUUCUAUGUAUUCUCAAACCUUAAAUAUUAUCGUCGUCAAACUACAAGAUGGAACACACCUCAACAACUAUGCAUUCAAUACAAGAAAGAACUUAUCCUCUCUCUCUCUCUNNNNNNNNNNNNNNNNNNNNNNNNNNNNNNNNNNNNNNNNNNNNNNNNNNNNNNNNNNNNNNNNNNNNNNNNNNNNNNNNNNNNNNNNNNNNNNNNNNNNNNNNNNNNNNNNNNNNNNNNNNNNNNNNNNNNNNNNNNNNNNNNNNNNNNNNNNNNNNNNNNNNNNNNNNNNNNNNNNNNNNNNNNNNNNNNNNNNNNNNNNNNNNNNNNNNNNNNNNNNNNNNNNNNNNNNNNNNNNNNNNNNNNNNNNNNNNNNNNNNNNNNNNNNNNNNNNNNNNNNNNNNNNNNNNNNNNNNNNNNNNNNNNNNNNNNNNNNNNNNNNNNNNNNNNNNNNNNNNNNNNNNNNNNNNNNNNNNNNNNNNNNNNNNNNNNNNNNNNNNNNNNNNNNNNNNNNNNNNNNNNNNNNNNNNNNNNNNNNNNNNNNNNNNNNNNNNNNNNNNNNNNNNNNNNNNNNNNNNNNNNNNNNNNNNNNNNNNNNNNNNNNNNNNNNNNNNNNNNNNNNNNNNNNNNNNNNNNNNNNNNNNNNNNNNNNNNNNNNNNNNNNNNNNNNNNNNNNNNNNNNNNNNNNNNNNNNNNNNNNNNNNNNNNNNNNNNNNNNNNNNNNNNNNNNNNNNNNNNNNNNNNNNNNNNNNNNNNNNNNNNNNNNNNNNNNNNNNNNNNNNNNNNNNNNNNNNNNNNNNNNNNNNNNNNNNNNNNNNNNNNNNNNNNNNNNNNNNNNNNNNNNNNNNNNNNNNNNNNNNNNNNNNNNNNNNNNNNNNNNNNNNNNNNNNNNNNNNNNNNNNNNNNNNNNNNNNNNNNNNNNNNNNNNNNNNNNNNNNNNNNNNNNNNNNNNNNNNNNNNNNNNNNNNNNNNNNNNNNNNNNNNNNNNNNNNNNNNNNNNNNNNNNNNNNNNNNNNNNNNNNNNNNNNNNNNNNNNNNNNNNNNNNNNNNNNNNNNNNNNNNNNNNNNNNNNNNNNNNNNNNNNNNNNNNNNNNNNNNNNNNNNNNNNNNNNNNNNNNNNNNNNNNNNNNNNNNNNNNNNNNNNNNNNNNNNNNNNNNNNNNNNNNNNNNNNNNNNNNNNNNNNNNNNNNNNNNNNNNNNNNNNNNNNNNNNNNNNNNNNNNNNNNNNNNNNNNNNNNNNNNNNNNNNNNNNNNNNNNNNNNNNNNNNNNNNNNNNNNNNNNNNNNNNNNNNNNNNNNNNNNNNNNNNNNNNNNNNNNNNNNNNNNNNNNNNNNNNNNNNNNNNNNNNNNNNNNNNNNNNNNNNNNNNNNNNNNNNNNNNNNNNNNNNNNNNNNNNNNNNNNNNNNNNNNNNNNNNNNNNNNNNNNNNNNNNNNNNNNNNNNNNNNNNNNNNNNNNNNNNNNNNNNNNNNNNNNNNNNNNNNNNNNNNNNNNNNNNNNNNNNNNNNNNNNNNNNNNNNNNNNNNNNNNNNNNNNNNNNNNNNNNNNNNNNNNNNNNNNNNNNNNNNNNNNNNNNNNNNNNNNNNNNNNNNNNNNNNNNNNNNNNNNNNNNNNNNCUCUCUCUCUCUCUCUCUCUCUCUCUCUCUCUCUCUCUCUACAGGUUGAGAUAAAAGACGGCAAAACCCAAAGUGGCAGACGACCCGGCGACGGAGGAGGAACUGUACGUAUAAGAUACGAGUCAGAUUCCUUGCUUACAGCGCCGAAAAAGUUAUCAGAUGAAAGCACCGUCUGCUCCACUGCCAAUCAAGUCUUCACCUCAAUUCUUGCCCAUAAAAUAUUACGCCCGAACGGCGUUGACCGGAUGCAGCUCCAUUGAUGUACAGAAAUCAAAAAGUCGUCUCUGACUUAUUCUGUCUCUCUCUUCUUUAACUCCCGAAGUAUCUCGAGUGCGUGCGAACGGCUGUAACCCUCCCCCACCCUGUCUCGCUUAUCAUCAUCUUUGGUAUCUUGUGUGUUUGGAGAAGUUCUGCUUCGACGGUUGACCGGAGUUCAAGCACGCCGAAGCUGAAGGAUGAUUGCGUUGGGUACUCUUUGACUUCCAUCUUGUUGUCCCCACCAUGCACGCAGCAUCAUCCUUCGGUUGCCAAAAGUCUUCCUUCGGAACCCACACCGGGUGAUGCCACGUGAGAAUGAGGAUAUUUGGGUGGGUCCCUCGAUGAUUGUGGCCAGUUACCUUCUUUUCGUGGGAUGCCUGACGUCACAUGACAAUUGGUAGCCAAGGAUUUUUUUGUCUGACUAGGAGGCCACAUGUCCGGAUGUGAUUGGAGACGAAUAUUUUCCAUACCAGUAUGCAUGAACAAACUAAAUAAUUGAAGGAUAUAUAUACUACUAAAAUUUAAAAGGGGCAAAUAUGUUAUUUUCAAACUUCAAGAGUAUAAAUAUGUGAAUGGAUCUGGAUGAUCCGCUAACCCGACACCGCAGCAACAGAAGUAUGGAAUCACGUUGACCAAACUAUUGGAUCGAAUCGUAAUUCUCGAUCAAUACGCAGAUCCAAUAUGCUGUAGCUGAUAUGUUACUGCUCACAUUUAGAUCUGCAUUUGAGUUCGUACUUCCUAAUCGAUGGAUCCAACCCAAUAGCACACCGGAAGCAAUACACACUCGACUCGGUCCAUGACAGAUGUGUGCAUGUGGUUUUUCCUGAAGAAUUAGAUUACGAGGAGGAGGAACAUGCCAAGUUUGAUACUUCAAAGGAUAGGAAUGAGUCCCAUGUAAUGUGUUGACAUACAACCUAAGGAGUGUCCAAUAUAAUAAUAGAAUUUAACGUUGUCAUCAGGGUUGACUUGAGCAAGAGAGGAGAACAGCAGUUCAUGAACGUUGUAUAGCAUUAUGUCAUGUGUUAUGACAGCUUGUCGGAACAACUCAUCACUUCUAAUUAAUCAUUGAGAAUAAAAAAUGACGGAAAAUUUGAUAAGGUCAACAUGUAGAAUUGUUGACCCACACAUUUGGUUAUGCUUUGCUUACACGAUUGGUAAUAAGCAGAUUAGCAGUACGUGACACAGCAGCAGCGUUUCAAGAUCAUUAUGUCGGCCGGGAGCAGCUGACACUUUGACUCUCACUUCGAACCGGUUGGUCUUCCAUGGCGCAAAAGUCAACGGCGUGUAGGAUUUCCCACGGCUGGUCAAUUAAAUCGAGAGAAUGACAGCUGCUGAGAUCAUUAUUGUUUUAUAUCAGUGAUUAAAUAAGGGAUGUGAUUCAGCCACGUCGAUCGCGAUCAUUUUAAUACAUGUGAUAAAAGUAUUGCUAUUAUCAUUGCAGCAUGCUGUAGUACAGAGAGAAGUCCGCAUGCCGUGACACGUGGCACAGUGCUGUUACCUAUAAAUAGCGCAGCAGCGCGUCACCAAACUGCACCAAGUCUCUCCCUCAACAAGAAGAAGAAGAAGAAGAACCUACUCUCCUUUUGAGGGACAAAAACCUACUCUCCUCUUCCUCUCACUCCUCCUCCGCGGUGUCAAUAUACUUAUGGCCACGACGAGUGCGUGUCCGACACCGUCGACGGUGACGUCGAAUGGGUCGUGGGACGGGGACAACCCACUGCACCACGCGCUGCCGCUCAUCAUCCUCCAGAUCUGCCUGGUGGUGGUCGUCACCCGAGCCCUCGCCUUCGUCCUCCGCCCCCUCCGCCAGCCCCGCGUCAUCGCAGAGAUCAUCGUAAGCCCCUAUCCUCCUCAUCCUACUUCGUCUUCCUCAGACAAUCGUCCCUUUGUUCUUUUACGAGCCCGAUGAUCAAGGUGGAGAGUGUUGAGAAUGCUUCUCCUCUCCUCUUGUCGUGAAUCCAAACCCUAAUCUUAAAAGAAGAUAUCAGAGAUCUGGACGUUCUGUGUCCCAACAGUAUAAUGAUUUUAGAAGCUAAGAGAUCUUAGACAUCCACCUGUUGUUGCAUCUACGGAAUCCUGGUACGACUUGACUUUGGAUUCCAACGUGAGUCAUAUGAUUUGACUUUGCGUUGCGUGGCGACGUAUACGAGCCAAACCUUUAGUUAAAAGACUGAAACGCCAGUGCCGUGAAAUGACAGCAACCUUUGUUGAUAGGACACUUAUAGCGCUGACUCCGAGGCAUUGAAUGCACGUCCUAUUCCUUUGGUAGGAUGGCACAGCGUCGCAUGUCGAUGUUGCCGACUUUGUUGCAUUUAUGAUCGCAAGAAAACUACAGAUAUAUAAUAAUAUGCUUUAUGUGCUAAAUGGGGGACGAAAUGUUUGCAGGGCGGCAUACUGUUGGGGCCCUCAGCGCUGGGCCGCAGCACAAGGUUCACGGAGAACGUGUUCCCGAAGCACAGCAUGACGGUGCUCGACACCGUGGCCAACAUCGGCCUCAUCUUCUUCCUCUUCCUGGUGGGGCUGGAGCUCGACAUCCGGGCCAUUCGCCGCACCGGCAAGGGCGCCCUGGCCAUCGCCCUCGCCGGCAUCUCCCUCCCCUUCGUCCUCGGUGUCGGGACCUCUGUCGUCCUCCGCUCCACCAUCGUGAAGGGCACCCGCCAGGGCCCCUUCCUCGUCUUCAUGGGUGUUGCCCUAUCUAUCACCGCCUUCCCUGUCCUCGCCCGUAUCCUCGCCGAGCUCAAGCUCCUCACCACCGACCUUGGCCGCAUGGCCAUGUCCGCGGCCGCCGUCAACGACGUCGCCGCCUGGAUCCUCCUCGCCCUCGCCAUCGCCCUCUCCGGCAACGGCUCCCCGAUCGUCUCCCUCUGGGUCCUACUCACUGGCAUCGCCUUUGUCACCUGCGUCGCCGUCUUCCUCCGCCCCGUGCUCGCCUGGAUGGCCCGCCGCUCCCCGGAGGGCGAGCCCGUCAAGGAGUCCUACAUCUGCGCCACCCUCACUCUCGUUCUCGCCGCAGGAUUCACCACCGAUGCUAUCGGCAUCCACGCCCUUUUCGGCGCCUUUGUGGUGGGCAUCGCCGUGCCCAAGGAUGGGCCCUUCGCGGGGGUGCUCAUCGAGAAGGUGGAGGACCUGGUGUCCGGCCUCUUCCUCCCGCUCUACUUCGUCUCCAGCGGCCUCAAGACUAACGUCGCCACCAUCAAAGGCGGCCGCUCAUGGGGCCUCCUUGUCCUCGUCAUCACCAACGCCUGCCUCGGCAAGAUCGUCGGCACCAUCAUAGCGUCUGUCGUCGUCAAGGUCCCCAUACGCGAGGCCGUCACCCUCGGCUUCCUCAUGAACACCAAGGGACUCGUCGAGCUCAUCGUCCUCAACAUCGGCAAGGACCGCAAGGUCUGAUACGUAUUCCUCUAUUCACAAUGUAUACACCUUUCCCCCCGUCCUAUUAGUAUGACUUAUGCCGACAUUAUAUCGAACAGGUGCUCAACGACGAGACGUUCGCCAUCAUGGUGCUGAUGGCUUUGUUCACCACCUUCAUUACCACUCCCAUCGUCAUGGGCAUCUACAAGCCUGCCCGGCGAGCAGCGCCCUACAAGCACCGGACGGUGGAGAGGUCGGAUAUGGACAGCGAGCUCCGCGUCCUUGCCUGCUUCCACGGCAGCCGCAAUAUCCCCACCAUGGUCAACGUCAUCGAGUCAUCCCGCGGCACCCGCCGUCGCCGCCUUACCGUGUAUGCCAUGCACCUAAUGGAGCUCUCGGAGCGGUCGUCAGCCAUCUCCAUGGUCCACAAGGCCCGCCGCAACGGCCUACCCUUCUGGAACAAGGGGGGCAACGCCGAUCAGAUGGUCGUGGCCUUCGAAGCGUACCGGCAGCUCAGCGCCGUCACCGUACGCCCCAUGACAGCCAUAUCCGACCUCGACACCAUCCACGAGGACAUCGUCACCAGCGCUCAGCAGAAGCGCGCCGCCCUCAUCCUCCUCCCCUUCCACAAACUGCAGCAGAUCGACGGCACCUUCGAAUCCAUAGGCCACGCAUACCAUCUCGUCAACCAGCGCGUCCUCCGCCACGCACCCUGCUCCGUGGCCAUUCUCGUGGACCGCGGCCUCGGCGGAACCACUAAGAUCACCUCCAACGAGGUAUCCUACACAGUCGCGGUCCUCUUCUUCGGCGGCCCCGACGACCGCGAGGUCCUAGCCUACGGCACGCGCAUGGCGGAGCACCCGGGCGUUUCCCUCAUGGUUCUCCGCUUCCUCCCGGCCGCUACAGUGGACCAGGAUGAGCUUGCCAAAGAUGAGGCCUGCAUCUCCAACUUCAGGGCCAAUUUGCCAUCCUCGUCGGCACCCGAUGGGUCGGUCAAGUACGAGGAGACAUCGUCUUCGGACAAGGCGGGAAUCAUAGCGGCCAUCAAGAACUUAGGCCGGUGCAACAUCUUCAUCGUGGGCCGCUCGCCGCCGGCGGUCGCCCUGGUCGAGAAGAGCGACUGCCCGGAGCUGGGACCCGUGGGGAGCUACCUGGCCGCCUCAGAGUUCUCGACCACAGCGUCGGUGGUUGUGAUCCAGAGGUACGAUCCCAAGGGGGACACGUCCACGCUGGUGGAGGAGGUAGCGGUGGUGCACGAUGUGCCCGACACACCGCUGGCCUUUGCCACGCCGGAGUCUUCCCUCCACGACAAAGGAAAAGGCAGGUAGACUGGAAGUUGUGGUCAAUAAUACCAUACCACAUCAGGCGGCUUCCCUUUGGCGUUGGAGAGGGAAGCGCGCCUAUGGUUCCAUGCUUGUCGAUCUCUAUUGCCGGCCUGUUAGUUCAGCCUUUUCGUCCAUACAUAGUGGAGUAUGCGAUGAGCACGGAGUGUUGACGAUAGUGUAAUGAGGAACAGCAUCAGUGUACGCAGGUAGAAGAGGAUGAUACAUGUCAGCAUCAUGCUCUGCUCUCUUCACUUGUACCACAACCUCACAAAACAUUUCCUUGUUACAGAAGUGUACGCAAUGAACUUUGUCGUCGCAAAAAGAAACCCUCGUUAUAUUUUGGCUAUAGAUUUCCUUCAACAGAAUAACGAGAUUUCCUUAUACAGUUGAAGAAAUCUUAUCUGGAGACAUAUCGAAAAUAUCUUUUUAUGGUGAUGAAUGGAUCUAAUUAUCAUAAUCACGAUCUCUUAUUAUCUAACUUGAAAGAUGCGAGUAGCCAUCCACAUGUCAUAAUUCCUAAAUCAAAUAGUGAUCGUGAUCUAAGCAUAUAUUGGUGAUCUAGGACGAGAGUCUUGGCCUUUUACUCUUAUGGUAUGGAGCCGAGUCUCUUAUAGCACGUAGAGAAUGACGAGAUGCUGACUUGAAAUAUGUUUUUUCAUAUCAGCACUUAAAUACCGGUUUAUUUGUUUCUUUAUGCGGGAAAAUAAAGAAAAACUACCCGCGCAUAUCUCCGUUUGUGUCGGGCAGGAUUUGCCAUGGACCGAACCGGCCCAAAAUGGCUUUAUGCUUGCAUUCUUGACGCGGAUUUGAUGUGAUGGUUCGACAUUUUCGAACCAGACCGGUCGCCGAGUUGAUGGGUUGAACCGAGCCCGGCCAUCUGUUUCAAGCAAUUGAUCGCCCAAACCGCCCGAGUCCUGAUGAGAACAUAGGUGAUUAUUGUAAUUGUGGUCGACGAAAAUGACGUAGUGAUCAAUGAGAACAUUGGGUACUUCUGUAGCUUCUCGUAGGAGAGGAGGAGAACGAGGAGAAAUAACGACGACAAGAGAUGAUACAAAGAAAGAGGAUGACAUCGAUGAUGACGCUCUACAUAUGCAUUGAAGUUGCGCGAUAACUAUGUUGGCAAAAAAACAGAGAUACAAAAUGAUGAAAAAACAGUUCGACAUCAGCAUCGAUGCUAACGUGGAUGUAGAUACAGAGCCCUGCUCGGUAUCUAUGUCAAUGUCAUCGCAUAUAUAAAGCGAUGUGACUCUUGUCAAUUUUUUCUUCAUUUGUCUCUUCAUGUACAAGGGGGAAGAAGGAUGAGUGAUACUCGUUAUCUCCCCCCCCCCUCCUUACAUAUAUCGAUAAAAGGGGGAAGAAGGACAAACGUCACCCCACUCUCCAUCUACUUCGAAGUCAAUGCAAAUACUAAACGAUGCUCUGCAUUUGCGUCGAUGCCAAUAUAAAUGUCGAACGAUCAUUUCGGCAUUUUACAUCUAUGUCAUAAUCGACGUAAUUAUUGAGCGACAUCAAUAAGAGCAUUUCUAUCUGUAUCGUUCUUUCAUCUUCUUCCUUUACAUCACAUCUCAUCGUCCUUUUUCUCUUCAUCCUCCUCGGCAUGACCCCAAGGCUUUUCUUUCAACGUUAUACAAUUAAUUUAUCAUAAAAAAAUCAUCAUUGUUAUUUGAUUUUUAAUUUAAAUAUGAUUUUGAAGUGGUAAAAAAAAAGAAGGAAGAGGGCAGAAUAGAAAUUACAAAUUAAUUAAUUAAUUAUGUAGAUUUUUUAUAUUGAGGAAUCCUUAUCCCGACUCCCGGGGUAGCUGAGGGUUUUCGUCGUUCCCUCGCCUCGUCCUCGCUCGCUCUCUCUCGAUAGAGUGACGUGAGAGCAAAAUGCUGGCGAGCGGCGCUCCUCCUCCUCCCCUUCUUCAGAAGGACCUCCUCUUCUCCUACUCUCUCCAAAGCCCUUUACUUCCUCCUCUGCUUUCUCCGACUCGGCGCCUCUUCGCCCUUCGCCGCCGAUGUGGCUGCUCCUUCGAACGCGCCGCUCGAGGGGAGAGGGAUGAGUCGCCGGUGGUGGCUGCAGCGUCCGGCCGCCACGGCUACGAGCGUAUCCCCAUGGAGACGGCCGGCGCUUACCGCCUGGUCGACAGAGAGACUGGGGAGAAGUUCAUCGUCUGGGGAGGGUCCGAUAACAACGACGAUGCCGACACCCCCAUCCCCUCCGCGGAGGUCCUCUCUUGGAAACCCCCUACCGCCGACGGUCGACAGGAAGGUGAGCAAUCCUUGUCCUCUCCCCCGCUUGUAACCUUCGUCGUUUACAAUUCCAUUCAUGAGGCAGAAACCCUACUUCACGGUCUAAAGAACGCGUAAUGAGUUGGUCAAAAACCCGACAUGCGAUUUUAUUUUUUCCUUUUCUUGAUUUUGCAUUGGAAACUACCAAAUCAUUUCGUCGAGACAUACACAUUGUUGAACUGGUCAUGAUUGGUGAGGACAGGUUGAUGGUUGCUGCUUCUUCAGUAAGAGCUGGUCUUCAUACUAUGAGUUGUUUUAUUCCUGAUUCUUUCUUGUCAAUCGUCUCCUAAGGUUGCAGAGGUUUUUUAUACCACAGGAGUUGAUGUGACAAUGCCUAUUGAUGAAACCGGCAAUAAGAAAGUUGCGCCUGCUGGUGGAUCUCGUAGAAGUUUCGGAAGGCUGAAGGCACAGAAGGUGAAGUCCUUGAUAAAGAAAACCUCCAAAAAUUAUAUGGAUGACUCUAAAAUUGGAAGUGUCACGUUUGUUGGAGAUUCACCGUCAAGUGAUACCAAUCGAACAGAUUCAUUUGGUUGUGGCAGAGCACAGGGUCUGAAGGAUUCAGAUUUGAAGGACAAUUCAGCAGUGAAUGAAGAGACUGAAGCCACAAAUUCUUUGCGCUUGAAUUCUAGAGAAGAUGAUUAUGCUUCAUUUCUAGACAGAUCUGUUCCAAGGAAUGCUUCCUUCAGGGGAUGGGGAGGUGCUGCUUCUAAUCGGGCUGGUACAGCUGUCCGGUCCAAGCAGCACAAGAAAAUGGCUACUAAUGCUGGAUUUUUUAGCAGGAAAUCUUUCAAAGAUGUUGGUUGCACUGAUGACAUGGUUGGUGCUUUGAGGGGACUGACGUUCCUUCGCCCAUCUCAUAUUCAGGUGUUUCUUAGUUUCUGCUGAGAAUAUUUGCUUUGCUUUUUUUUUUUUUCGAUCUAUACCGGAAGUCUCACACUAUAUGAUAACCUCUGAUCAUGGUUGAUAGGAUGAACCCCUUAUAAGUUUGCUUAGUUUCUAUGAUCUCAGAAAAUGAUGAUACUGUCAAAUCUAGUAAAUUCGAUUAAAGAAAAUUUUAUGGGUUUCCUCUUAUGCAAAUAUUAUAUAAAUUAUCUGUUCAGCGAAAUUCUCAUAUUGGAUCCUUGGCUUGCUUCUGAAUCUGUUCACAAUUAUGUCAAUGAAAUUAUCCAAAUUGAUCACUGGUUUGAUUUGGGAAUAAAAUGACUUGUGAAAACUCAAGCAGUACGUUUAUGUAGUUUUUGAAUACUGCAGGCAAUGGCAUAUGGACCUAUUAUAGAAGGAAAGACUUGUAUUGUUGCUGAUCAGAGUGGAUCUGGUAAGACAUUGGCUUAUCUUGCUCCAACUAUACAAUGCUUAAGACAGGAAGAGAUACUAGGUCUUGGUAAAGCAUCAUCAAGGAGCCCAAGAGUGAUAAUAUUGGUGCCUACUGCUGAAUUGGCUUCACAGGUUGGUAUUUGGUGUCACCAUCACCAACUUUUUCUCUCUGUGUUUCAUCUUUCUGAGGCACCAAUAGUUGAAGUUGAUCUAUACCGUUCAGUUUUGAUUGUCUUGUCAAAACUAGCUAGUUUGGUGUAACUAAUUAAUCAACAGUGAAUAUAGAAUCUUGGCAUAAUAUCUGGUCAAUAUUGCUAAUAGGUGUAAUAUCUAGUGAUAAUUAGCACUUUGAGAAACCAAAUAAGUGACUAUUGACAUAUUUAAGACAAACACAGAUGAAUGCCUUUACAAGAGUAUCAUAAGCUACCAAACACAACAACAUCAUUGAACAAUCUGGCUGUAUUAUUUGAGCAUGAGUUAGAAAGAAAUUUAUUGUGUUUUGUUUAGUCUUAAAAGCACAAAUAAAUUUAGAAACCAAUUAUUGGUCAUAGACAUGCAUGAUCAUCUAUUUGCAUGUUCUUGGGAUAUGGCCAGAUAAAUAACUCUGUACAGCAAGGGAAUAACUCCGAUCAUGUAUAACUCUGUGCCAAUCACUUUUAUGUUCUCUAAACUCUUUUUGACGUAGGUAAUGAAAUCAAUAUAAAUUAAAAUCGCCAAACUCACAAAAAUUGUUAAAUGAGAAGUCCACAGGGCCUACAUUGAAAUGGAAACCGACAAUUUGUCCCUUUGUUGUUAUGGUCUGUGACUCUGUAGUUUUGAUUUUGACAAUUUGUCCCUUUGGUCCUUUUUUUUAUACUUUCAUGUCUUAGUUUUCUUCUCCUCUGUGAUUGCAUGCUUGAUUUGGACUCCCAUUUUGAUUGUGGAUUGCUUUUCCUUUGUCCUUCCUCCAAUACAAUGGUUGCCUAAAAAAGUGGAUGAUUUGGAGUUGGCUUUUCUGGGAAUCGUAGUGAUUUUUCUUCUUUUGCUUUUUCUCAUUUUCUGUCAUUGGCUGCCUUUUCACAUGCACUUAAUAAUUGGCUUUCUUGUUAUUGUUCAAUAGUUUGUUCCUUUUCUUUCGCCAUGUUGAUCAUUGCUUAGUGAGUUGGAUUUGCUUUUGCAUAUUCAAAGUAGAAAUGGGUGUUGCCGAUGGUAUUGUGUCGGAUGGAGUAGCAUGAAUUUGAUAUAUAUGAAUGCAGUGCAUGUGAUGCAUAUUGAUGGAACUGCUGAAAUAAAAUUUAGAAUUUCACUCAAGUGUUUGUGAAUGACAUGGAACUUCUAUUUCUGAUGUUAGCGUUUGACUUUGCCUGAACCUUUUAUAUUUGCAGGUUCUUAGUAAUUGCCGGUCAAUAGCAAAAUAUGGUGUCCCAUUCAGAUCUAUGGUUGCAACAGGCGGCUUUCGACAGAAAACUCAGCUAGACAAUCUUAAUGAAGAAUCCGAUGUACUCAUUGCAACACCUGGCCGUUAUAUGUAUCUGCUACAAGAAGGCUUUCUGCAACUAACGAACCUUAGAUGGUAAUCCGUGUUUGCAUUUUUCAGUUAUUGCUAUAUCAAAGCAUCACGGUUAAAUUUAAUUUUGAUUGGAAUUCUUUUGGUUUGCUUUAUGUGACUGCAGAAAUGUUCUUUUGUACAGAUCUGAACUGGCAUGGUUCUUAAUGUACCUUUGCUGAAAGGUUAAUGUAGCUUCCAUAAACAACAAUCUGUUUUGAACUAAAAGUUCUAAAAGAAAUAGCAAAAGUUUUUAAGUCACAGUAUGUUCUCGGGAGUUUUCUAAGACAGUAUCAAGCACACAAAAGUAAAGUUGUUUCUUGUGAGGUUGCAAUGUAAAAAAAAGAAUAGAGCUUGUUUAAACACCUAUGAACUAAUCUCUUUAAUACAUGCAGUGUUGUCCUUGAUGAAGUGGACAUCCUAUUCAGAGAUGACGGAUUUGAACAUGUUCUUGAGAGCUUCAUCAGUUCUGCACCAGUGUCGGCACAAUAUCUUUUUGUUACUGCAACUCUUCCAGUUGAUAUCUAUAAUAAAGUGGUUGAAAUAUUUCCGGACUCUGAAGUAAUCAUGGGACCUGGCAUGCACCGUACAAGCUCCGGUCUCGAAGAGGUUAGUCUUCCAUUAUCUGCUUGUUUCUACCUUGAAGUGACGUGUAAAAUCAUUGAUUCUGGCUACUUAACAAAUGGGAUGUAAAAUCAGUCUUUAGGUGUAGCCAAGCUGUAAUUAUGGCCGAUAAUUGGUUCUGGCAACUGAAUGAAUGAUUGUGGAAUACUUGAUAUUUUUAAUUGUAGAUUGUGUGUUUAUAUACACAAAAAAUCACAUUCACCUUCAAUUUAUCAAAGUAGAAAUACAAAAUUGUUUUCUCCUACUUCGUGACUGCUCCCAAUUUUAAUUUUAAUGAAAUAUUUAAUAUCACUUGCCAGACCAACCGUCGGCAACCCCGAAAAAUAUUUCAUCAUAAUUAUCAUUCUUGUACUUUGUCCAUUUGUAUAACACUAGUGGUUGAACAACUCAAGCCCCAGGUUACUUGGAAUUGUGGACAGGAAUUUUAGGCCAACUGGCAAUUGACAUCAACCCUCCUGAUUCAAUGACAAAUUUAUAGCCAAGGUUAGGCAAAGAUAUGUUUGCAGAAAACAUAAGAGGCUAGUUGGUGGUUAACAAAAUCUGAGUUUUGGCUGCUUUUUUGACAAAAGAAAUAAUCAUCAUCACCUUCCCCACUUGAUGACAGAACUAAAAUCAGAUGUCUUCAAAUUUCAUAUAUAUUCUUUAGAUAUUUCCAUUUUUAUAUAAUUGGAAGAGAAACUGAAUUGUGAUGUUUGUGAUCCUGAUUUGGUUAGUGAAUAUUCUGAAAGCUUCUCUGCAGAAUUUUCAGAUACCAUUAAUUUCUUUAUAUGAAACAUGUUCUUAUUGACUUUGUAAAUAUCUUAUCACUUUAUUCUUCAAUUAGAUGAAUGGGGGCCAUUUCCUGUAGCAAUUAACUUGAUUUGGAACUUUUAAUGACUAACAUUAUUCACUUGCAGGUUCUUGUUGACUGCAGUGGUGCUGAAGGGGAGGAGAAGAAUCCAGAUACUGCUUUUCAAAAUAAGAAAUCUGCUCUUCUGCAGCUUUUAGAACUGCCAGUUCCUAAAACUAUUGUUUUCUGCAAUAAGGUAACAUUGAAUUUCUAAAUUUAUGUUUUGACUAAUUAGAAACAUGGAAAUUAUAAACAUAAUUCAAAAUGAGUAAUGAAUGUACGUGUAGGAGAUCAUUAUUUUCAUGCUGACUGGAUGUAGUAUUGUUUUUCUUACUUUGGCAAAUUUAAAGAUCCAUUUAAAAAGAAUGCAUCUUAGCGUAGGAGCCCUUCAUACUUCAAGUUGGCAUCUUCAUUUAUAAUAUUAGGCAAUUAUUCCUCGAGCUUUGCAGAUUGAAACCAACCGGGCAUCUCCUUUUCAUGAUAAGCAGUUACCUUGUUUUGUUCCACAGAUUGAAACCUGCAGAAUGGUGGAGAAUGUAUUGAAUCGCUUUGAUAGGAAAGGAUCACAAAUCCAAGUCUUGCCAUUCCAUGCUGCCAUAGCACAGGAAAUACGCUUAUCAAACAUGAGAGAGUUUCUCAACUCACGUUCAAAAGAUUCAAAGUUUCUGAUCUGCACUGACAGGUAAUGGAAAUGUGGCAAAUAUUGUAUUCAUUAGUUCAACUUUUUCUAUGUAGCUUGAAUUAGAAAACAAGUUAUAAAAACACAUCUGAGUUAUAAAAGGAUCACAAAUCCAAGUCUUGCCAUUCCAUGCUGCCGUAGCACAGGAAAUACACUUAUGAAACAUGAGAGAGUUGCUCAAUAAGCUACAAUGCUGGUGU
rnacentral:lncRNA from 1 species